UUUCUCAACAAUCAAAGUGUCUCUGAGCACAGUGGCACAAUAUUUGUCCCCCUUGGUUCAGAAGAUGCGUGCGGAGCCUCGGCCUUUUAGUGCUCAGACAGGGGCAAGCACAAACCAUUUCCCCAUGUCACCUCCAGGGAGAACUGGCUGCAAGAGAAACUCAUGCCCUGGAUUUUGCUUUAGUGCACAGAUUAACAACACGGGGAGGAAUCCCAUUCCAUCCAAUCCAUCGCUGGAUUGCAGUGAGGAUUCCUAAGGCUGGAUUUGGGACAGGGAACACCUCUCCUUGCAAAGCUUGGAAGGGCUGAAGGGGACAACCUGGGGUGCUGCUGAGUGUAGGAGCCCACAGGGCCCCUUCCUCACUGGUGGUGAGGGAUGCGCUGCUGUGCCACAGCCCCACUCCCAGUUUGUAAAUGUAAUCAACCUUGAGGUCUUGUUACUUCCACAGGUGCAAUUAACAUCACCAUCUGCUAAUCCCUGAUUAACGAUGUUUACAAAUAUGCUACAACAUGUUAAAAUGUGCUGGCACUAUUAUUUCCAUUCCCUUUUUCUCUUCUCCCUGUUCCAUUGCGGCUUUCCCGGUGACAGCUUCCGUGCAUCCCACCCUUAAUGCACAGACAUUUUGGUGCCACUCUUUAAAGGCGCUGCUCAACUCCAAACCAGCUGUAGGAAUGAGUUCACAUCAGAAGAAGCUGCAAACUCAGCAGUGCUUCCUGUGCUUGGCAAGCCAGAGCUCAGCUGUUUUCUCUGGAGAGCUGAACAUCCUGCAUCCUGCACAUCCCAUGGAUCCAGCCCUGAUGCUGCCGGUUCCCUUUUCAUGACCAUGGAAGCUGCAGAGCUGCAGGAAGGCCCUCUGCAUCGCCUGCAGUGAGGAGGGGAAGCGGCAUCUUCUUGUGGUCCAGCACCUCAGAGGAUGGAGAUGUCUCUGCCAGAGCCAGCUGCCCCCCAUGGUGUGUUCAUCCCAGGGGUUCAUCCCAUUGCAUGGGGCUGUUUCUGCCAGGGUUGUGCUGGGUGCCACGAUGGGGAGAUGAGCCCUGAGGGGCUUCAACGGCCUCACCUUUUUGUCUGUGGGGGGAGCAAGAGGAAGGCACAGUGGGACCUGGUUCCCAGUGACUGUGCCUGUUCUUGAGAUGAUUUUUCCAGUAGGAUCUGGGCACAACUGAUCCCCAGGGUGGUCUUCCU
rnacentral:lncRNA from 14 species